UCGUCGUUGUCAGUUUAUUAACCUCCUCAAUCCCCUCGCACAACCGCCGCCGCCGACCCUCCCCUCGACCGUGGCGACGACGGCGUCCCUCCUGUCGGUCGUGCCGCCGCUGCCUCAGACCGUCACACGGCCGCAGCCGCCUAUACUUUUUCUCGCCCCUCCCCUAAUCCAGUUCUCGUCCAAAGCCGCCGCCGCAAACAAGGGAUCCCACCGGACCUCGCCGCGGCCGCAAUCAAGGGAUCCCGCCGGAUUGCCGCCAGGAGCCGCAGGAACUGCAUGCCAUCAGGCGCGGCGUGCCGAGCCCGGCGAAGCCUCCUCUGCCCCACCGCCCCCUGUAGCGCAUCCCUCCGUCGAGCAUCCGGUCAUGCCGAGCAACGCCGCGGACCAGUCCGUAGGCAGGAUCUAUCUGGCCGACCUCAUUUGAGCUGCGGCUUAAGUAUUCCUACUGCACGGGUUUGCACAUAUGAUACAUAGUUGGUUGAGCACAUCUUCUAGAGUCUUGUGAAUACAUCUGGGACAACGCUUCACAUCAGUCAGGGUUGCCAUGUGAAGAAAAAGGAUAUGUGGGAGCUUUUGAAUGGACAAAGGCUUCAGCAAGGAAGAGAAGAUAGCUGCAUUUCCUUACUUGCAAUUCUAGUAACUAUCUUUGUUAUAACUUGUAGAGUGUACCCGCAAAAAAAAAACUUGUAGAGUGUGAUGGAUUAAUUAGGAUGCUAUGUAAUCAGAGUACGUGCCCUAUCAUAUGUAUCAUGACUGAUUGCGACCAAGGUCUGCAUUCUAUGAUAACUACCGGUA